GGGAACUUCCUUCCUGCCCCCUCCGAGUUUUGCCUCUCUCACUGGCAGCAACCCAGCGCUUCCAUUGCUGACCUCUACCGACCUCUACCUGUGGUCCUUCCUCUACUGCAGCAGAGACACUGUUUUCUUCCUUUGUUCUUCCAACCCCAUGGCACAGAAACACUCUCCACUGCGGCCAAGGAUUGCAGGAGAGGUGGCAUCAGUGAUUCAAGACUUCUUUUCCUACCUCUUCAGUGUUUCUUUCAGUGAUCUGAAGUUAAAGCCAGGGGGAAUAUCACAGAAGUGAAGUGCAAUUCUCAUCAUGUCAUAUCAAGAGCACACACUAACAAACAACAUGACUUAUUGCUGAAUAUUGAACUUGAUCACCUGGCUGAGGUGAAUAAACUGACACUGGAACAUUCAGGAACUUCUUCAUGGUCAUGGUCACCCAGCUAGAGUGUGGAAGCCAGGCUGUCUGAUUCCAGGAUCUGUGUUCUUAAUCCUAUACAUAAGGAAGCCAUAAUGAGUCAACCACUAUUUUUAAGAUUCACAGAUGUUCGGGUCCAAUUCACCAGAAUGCCAAGUUAUACAGGGUUGUGGAAUCAAAAACUGCAAUUAGUAAUAAAAUGUGAUGCUAUCUAGAAUGUUUUUCAUACAUAUAUAUGCUUCUUGGGACUCUCCCUGCAGGUUAAGAGAAAUUGAGAAACGAUGGAGAAUUUAAGUGUUUUAGAUCCUACAUACAUUAGACUUAAAAAUAGUAACUAUGUACAUGAGUAUUUGUAAACUUAAGAAUGAACAUAACAUGAACCAUGUGGCACCUAUAAAAUGAAAAUAAAAUACCUACAAACCAAAUGAGAGCAAUAAAAGAAGCUUUAAGGACUUUCACUUCAGGGAGUCUGAAUUAGAUGCGCUUCUUCCCAUUCCUCCCUCUAAUUACAACAAGCUUGGACGUUACAUACAGAACAAACAGAAGGAGUCUCUGAAAGAUGAAGAGAAGGCAAGUAAGCUACAGACUUCACAAUGUAAGGAAUAAUAUGGUGAGAGACCACAUGGAAAGCCUAGAUUUCAACACCUACCCAGCAUUAAUGAGGUAUUCCUUCCCUUCUUUACUCUCUGGUGUCAAAGAAGCUCCAUGCAGAGUCAGAAUGUUUGGCAUUACUCCUCAGUAGGGAGGCCACCCCCACCACGGUGUUAGUGGAGACCAUGUGAGGACCAGGACUUGUACCCUGCCCAGAAGUAAUGAGUAGACCCCCCUCUACAGGAAGGCCAAAGGGCAACCUAAACUUCUACCUCUCUCUGGCAGUAAUAAAGUAGGGCCUCACUUUUCCCUGCUGAGCAAUGUCAAAAAAAAAAGCCAGCUGAAGUAAAAGCUUAUUUCUUUCUUUCUUUAUACAUAUUUUUGGAGACAGGGUCUUAUUCUGUCACCCACGCUGGAGUACAGUGGCCUCAUCAGGUCUCACUGCAGCCUCAACCUCCUGGGCUCAAGCAAUCCUCCCACCUCAGCCUCUUGAGUAGCUGAGACCACAGAUGUGCACCACCACACAUAGCUAACAUUAACAUUUUUUCUAGAGAUGGGGUCUUCCUGUGUUGCCCAGGCUGGUCUGGAACUCCUGGGCUCAAGUGAUCCUCCCACCUUGACCUCCUGGAGGGCUGGGAUUACAGGUAUGAGUCAUCACUCCAGGCUGAAGCUUUAUAUAAUAACCAGAGUCUCAUAUUACAAAAUGUCAAAGAUUCAGUCAAAAGUUACUUGAUAUCAAUGGACAAGAUCUCAAACUAAAUGAAAAAAAGACAAUUAAUAGAUGCUAACACUGAGAUAACAAAGUUGUUAGAAUCAUCUAACAAAGAUUUUAAAGCAGCUAUAAUAAAAGUGCUACUGCAAGUGAUUAUAAACAUGCUUGAGACAAAUGAAAAAGUGCUAUAAAGCUAAGAAAUAAAAUAUAUAAAUAAGAAUCAAAGAGAAAUUAUAGAACUAAAAGAUACCAUAACUGAAAUGCAAAGCUCCGUGGAUGGACUCAACAACAGAAUGGAAAAGACUGAGGAAAGAAGUAGUUUACAGGAAAUUAGAAUAGACUAGAAAAAAUGAACAAGACCCUGUGCUAAAGAGCAAAUAUUUAUGUCAUUGGAUUCCAGGAAAGAGAAAAGAAUGAAAAAGUACUUAAAUAAUGGCUUAAAAACUUCUCACAUUUUGCAAAGAUUUAAACCUACAAUUUGAGAAGCUGGGUAAACCUUAAACAGGAUAAAUCAAGGACACUCACACCAAGAAACAUAGUAAUUAAACUUCUGAUUAAGGAAGAAAAAGAAAAAUCUGGAAAGCAGCAAGAAAAAAAUGACACACUUUCUAUAUGGUAAAAGCAAUUUGAACAACAGAAGAUUUCUCAUCAGAAACUGUGGGGACCAUGAGGAAGUAACAGAUAUUUUUCAAGUGCUGAAAUAAAUCAACUGUCAAUACAAAAUGCUCUACUCAGUGAAAAUAUCUUUCAGGAAUAAAGGGGAAAUCAGGACACGCACAGACUUUUUUUAAAUUAAGAAUUUAUUGUCAGCUUAUCUCCCUAAAAGAAUGGCUAACAUUCUCCAAACACGAAGGAAAUUGAUAAGGAAUCUUGAAAUUUCAGUUAGAAACAAUGAAUAUGGCAAGCAAAAUGUAGGUCAGUACACUAAGUUUAAUUUCUCCUCUUGAAUUUUCUAAAUUAUGACUUAUGAUUGAAGCAAAAAUCAUAACAUUAUCUGAUGUAUAUGUAGAGGAAAGAUUUAAGACAGUGAUGUUAUAAAUGAGGGGAGUAAAGGAACAUGAGAUAACCACUAAUAUGACAUACCAAUAGACUAUGAUAAAUUAUGUGUCUAAUGUGAUUACUAGAAAAACCAGUUAAAAUAUAAAGAUUGACGGAGUGAAUUUAAAAACAUGACACACUAUAUGCUGUUUAUCAUAAACUCACUUUGAAGAUAAUGCCAUCGUCAGGUUGAAAUCAAAAGGAAUAAAAUAGUGUAUUAUGUAAACCAUCAAAAAGAGCAGGAAUGGCCAUAUUAAUAACAUUAAAGUCAGCUUCAGAACUAAGGAAAUUAUCAGAGAGGGACAUUAUAUAAUGAAAUAGUCGAUUUACCAAAAGAACAUAGCAAUCAUAAAUGUGCAUGAAGCAAACAACAAAGCUGGAAAAUAUAUGAAGUGAAACUGAUAGAUCUAAAAGGAGAAACAGAUAAAUCCAUUCAUUAUAGUUGGGGCCUUUAUCACCCCUCACUCAACAAUUGAUAGAACUGGACAGAAAACCAGUAAGAAUAUAAAAGAACUCAACAACAUGAGACAAUAGGAUCUAGUUGAUAUUUAUAGAACAUUCCAACAGCAGAAUACAUGUUCUUCAAGUGCUCACAGAACACACAUAUAAAGAUAGACCCUGAGCAUAAAACAAGCCUCAACAAAUUUAAAAGAACUGAAAUACUACAAGUACUUUCUCCAACCACAAAAGAACCAAACUAGAAAUAAAUAACAAUGAUAAUGGGAAAAUCACCAAACACUUGAAAACUGAACAACAAUAUUUUAUAACCCAUGGUCAUAGAGGAAAUCUCAAAAGAAAUUUUAAAAAUGCACUGAACUGAAUGAAAAUGAAAACAACAUAAAAUUUGUGAGACACAUAAAGCAGAACUGAUGGGAAAAUAUAUAGCACUAAAUGCAUGCUCUAGAAAAGAAAAGUCUUCAACCAGUAACCUAAGCUUCCACCUCAAAAACCUAAAAAAAGAAGGAAAAAUAGACCCAAUGCCAGCAGAAAGAUGCAAUAACAAAGAGUAGAACUCAAUGAAAUUGAAAACAGAUAAACACUUUAAAGAAUAAAACAAAGAGCUGGUUAUUAGAAAAGAUCAAUUAAUUGAUAAACCUCAAGCAAGACCGUCAAAAAAAAAAAAAAAAGGACUUACCUAUACCAGAGAUGAAAUGGGAUAUCGCUAUCAAUACUGCAAACAUCAAAAGGAUAAGUAGAUACUAUGAACUGUACACACAUUAAUCUGACAAUUUAGACAAAAUAGAUCAUUUCCCUAGAAAACACAAACUACUACAGCUUACCCAAUAUAAAAUAGAUUAUUUGAAUAGCCUUAUAAGUACUAAAAAAAAAUUAAUUAAACUCAUUAUUUAAAAAUUCCUAAAAAGAAAGCCUCCAGAGCCAAAUUGUUUCCUUCAGAAUUCCACCACAUUCAUAAAGAUUUGACAGCAAUUCUAUACAGUCUCUUUGAGAAAAUAGAAGGGGGUAUUUUCUAAUUCAUUUUAAGGAGCUAGUAAAUACCCUGAUACUGAAAUGUAUACUGCAAAUUGAUAAAAUUAUAGACCCCUGCAUAUUAAAUUUCAAAAUAAAAAUGAUAAAAAUACUUGGGUAAUGAAUAACAGCAUAACAAAAAACCACAGACCAAUAUCUCAUGAACAUAGACACAAAAAAUGCUUCACAAUAUGACAUAGAAUUCAGUAAUACAUGAGAAUUAUAUACCACAACCCAGUAAGACUUAAUCCAAGAAUGGAAGACUGGCUCAAUAUUUAAAAAUCAAUCGAUGUAGUGCAAAUAUUAAUAGCUAAUGAAGAAAUGUCAUAAAAUUAAUGCAGAAAAAGGAUUUGACAAAAUUCAACACUCAUUUAUGUAAAAAUGCUCUGAAAAAUAGGAAUUAAAGGACACCUACAAGAAACUUUCAGCUAACAUAAUUCUUAAUGCUGAAUGAUUGAAUGUUUUCUUCCUGAGCUUGAGAAUAAGGUGAGGGUAUCAUCCCUAAUGACGCUUAUUCAACAUAGUGCUCAAAGUUCUAUGAAGUGCAAUUAGGCAAUAAAGGGAAAUAAAAGACAGGUAAAAGAAGAAAUUAAAUUUUAUUUGAAAAAGCUGAUUGUCUACCUAGAAAAUCUCAAGGAAAACACUAUUAAUAUACAGAACAACCUGAAUGAAUCUUUGGAGAAUUACGCUGCAUCAGAAAAAGCCAAUCACAAAAGAUUACAUACUAUGUAAUUCCAUUUGUAUAACAUUUUGAACUGACAAAAGUAUAGAAAUGAACAGAUUAGUGGUUGUUAGGGGUGAGGGGUUAUGGGUCAGAGAUAGGAGUUGGGGAUAUAAAAAGGCAACCUGAGGGAUCCUUAUGGUGAUUGAAACAUUCUGUAUGUUGGUUCUAUCAAUGUCAAUACUCUGGUUGGACUAUGGUUCCACAGUUUUGCAAGAUGUUAUUGAGGAAAACGGCAUAAAUGGUGCCCAGGAUCUCUCUAUUGUUUCUUACUGAUUAUGUAUCUGCAAUGAUUGCAAAAUAAAAAGGUUUAAUUUUUAAAAAGGAUUAAACAUUACAUAGCAUACACUUGAGUAAAAGACAAAAUCUGGCUAAGGAUUAUUUUUGUCCUAAGUAAUAUGUGGAUUUUGUACAACAUAAAUCACAAUCCCCUAAAAUCUAUAUUGUAAAUUGAUAAAAUGUAAAACCUGUGUAUUACAGAAUAAAAGAUGAACAAAAAUUACAAAACACUAAGAAAUACCCUAGUGCCCCAAUGUAUCAGUAGACAAACACAUGGACAGAUAGUUUGCAAAAGGGGAAGUACAUAUGGUGAAUAAACAUUAUGAGAUGUCUAAUAUUGUUAGCUAUCAAUGAAACAUGAAAUAAAAUGAUGACAUUGCACACAUCUCAAGUCUCUGGCAGAGCACAGACCAAACUGAAAUUUCCCACUUCACCUGGAAUUUAACUUGCUUAAUCAUUUUUCCUCAAUCUAAGUAAAUUCGUAACUAUUCUUUCUAAAUACAUUCACUAGAAUAAUCG
rnacentral:lncRNA from 1 species